GGGGAUAACUACUGGAAACGGUAGCUAAUACCGCAUAACGUCGCAAGACCAAAGAGGGGGACCUUCGGGCCUCUUGCCAUCGGAUGUGCCCAGAUGGGAUUAGCCUGUUGGUGGGGUAACGGCUCACCAAGGCGACGAUCCCUAGCUGGUCUGAGAGGAUGACCAGCCACACUGGAACUGAGACACGGUCCAGACUCCUACGGGAGGCAGCAGUGGGGAAUAUUGCACAAUGGGCGCAAGCCUGAUGCAGCCAUGCCGCGUGUAUGAAGAAGGCCUUCGGGUUGUAAAGUACUUUCAGCGGGGAGGAAGGGAGUAAAGUUAAUACCUUUGCUCAUUGACGUUACCCGCAGAAGAAGCACCGGCUAACUCCGUGCCAGCAGCCGCGGUAAUACGGAGGGUGCAAGCGUUAAUCGGAAUUACUGGGCGUAAAGCGCACGCAGGCGGUUUGUUAAGUCAGAUGUGAAAUCCCCGGGCUCAACCUGGGAACUGCAUCUGAUACUGGCAAGCUUGAGUCUCGUAGAGGGGGGUAGAAUUCCAGGUGUAGCGGUGAAAUGCGUAGAGAUCUGGAGGAAUACCGGUGGCGAAGGCGGCCCCCUGGACGAAGACUGACGCUCAGGUGCGAAAGCGUGGGGAGCAAACAGGAUUAGAUACCCU
rnacentral:rRNA from 1 species